rnacentral:rRNA from 1 species
AGCUUGCUGGGUGGAUUAGUGGCGAACGGGUGAGUAACACGUGAGUAACCUGCCCCUGACUCUGGGAUAAGCGUUGGAAACGACGUCUAAUACUGGAUAUGAUCACUGGCCGCAUGGUCUGGUGGUGGAAAGAUUUUUUGGUUGGGGAUGGACUCGCGGCCUAUCAGCUUGUUGGUGAGGUAAUGGCUCACCAAGGCGACGACGGGUAGCCGGCCUGAGAGGGUGACCGGCCACACUGGGACUGAGACACGGCCCAGACUCCUACGGGAGGCAGCAGUGGGGAAUAUUGCACAAUGGGCGAAAGCCUGAUGCAGCAACGCCGCGUGAGGGAUGACGGCCUUCGGGUUGUAAACCUCUUUUAGUAGGGAAGAAGCGAAAGUGACGGUACCUGCAGAAAAAGCACCGGCUAACUACGUGCCAGCAGCCGCGGUAAUACGUAGGGUGCAAGCGUUGUCCGGAAUUAUUGGGCGUAAAGAGCUCGUAGGCGGUUUGUCGCGUCUGCUGUGAAAUCCCGAGGCUCAACCUCGGGCUUGCAGUGGGUACGGGCAGACUAGAGUGCGGUAGGGGAGAUUGGAAUUCCUGGUGUAGCGGUGGAAUGCGCAGAUAUCAGGAGGAACACCGAUGGCGAAGGCAGAUCUCUGGGCCGUAACUGACGCUGAGGAGCGAAAGCGUGGGGAGCGAACAGGAUUAGAUACCCUGGUAGUCCACGCCGUAAACGUUGGGCGCUAGAUGUAGGGACCUUUCCACGGUUUCUGUGUCGUAGCUAACGC